CGGGGUGCACCAGGCGCGAAAACUUUACAAUGCUGGCAACAGCGAUAAGGGGACCUCGAGUGCCAGGAUACAAUCUUGGCUGUCGCGAUGCCUAAAAAGCAUUGCAUAGCAAGGGCCGGGCAAGACCGGUGCCAGCCGCCGCGGUAACACCGGCGGCUCGAGUGGUAACCGCUAUUAUUGGGUCUAAAGGGUCUGUAGCCGGCCGGAUAAGUCUCUUGGGAAAUCCAGCAGCUUAACUGUUGGGCUUUCAGGAGAUACUGUUCGGCUCGAGACCGGGAGAGGUGAGAGGUACUUCAGGGGUAGGGGUGAAAUCUUGUAAUCCUUGAAGGACCACCAGUGGCGAAGGCGUCUCACCAGAACGGAUCUGACGGCAAGGGACGAAAGCUAGGGGCACGAACCGGAUUAGAUACCCGGGUAGUCCUAGCCGUAAACGAUACUCGCUAGGUGUCAGCCACGGUGCGACCGUGGUUGGUGCCGUAGGGAAGCCGUGAAGCGAGCCACCUGGGAAGUACGGCCGCAAGGCUGAAACUUAAAGGAAUUGGCGGGGGAGCACA
rnacentral:rRNA from 1 species